rnacentral:ncRNA from 6 species
UAUUGCACUUGUCCCGGCCU